rnacentral:rRNA from 1 species
UACGUAGGGUGCGAGCGUUAAUCGGAAUUACUGGGCGUAAAGUGUGCGCAGGCGGCCGAGCAAGUCGAGUGUGAAAGCCCCGGGCUUAACUUGGGAAUUGCGCUCGAAACUACUUGGCUGGAGUGUGGCAGAGGAAGGUGGAAUUCCAGGUGUAGCGGUGAAAUGCGUAGAGAUCUGGAGGAACACCGAUGGCGAAGGCAGCCUUCUGGGCCAACACUGACGCUCAUGCAUGAAAGCGUGGGGAGCAAACAGG